rnacentral:tRNA from 1 species
GGAGAUGUGCCAGAGUGGUUGAAUGGGGCAGUUUCGAAAACUGCUAUAUCCGAAAGGGUAUCGAAGGUUCGAAUCCUUCCAUCUCCG